CUCGGUCCCCCCACCCCUACUCGGCCACCCUCUGCUCGGCCCCUCCCACCCAUGCUCGGCCCUCCCCAUCCCUGCUCGGCCCCCCGACUCCCCCUCCCCCCCAUCCCGCGCGCCCCGCGGCCGCUCCCCGAUCCCGCGGCGCCCCCUGCAGGCCGUGCGCGCUCCUUGCAGGCCGGCCCUGGACCGUCGGACCCAGCAGCCUGUAGGCUCUAAUUUUCAGAGGCAAAGAAAAAAAGAAAAAAAAAAAAAAGAAAGAAAGAAAGAAAAAGCGUGGUGCUUCUUCACUUGCCUGUCAGGUGGAUCAUUUGAAGGCGAGAAAAGUAAACCGAAGGAAGGAGAAGGAAUCGACGGUCCCAGCCGCGCCGGGUAUUCCUUGCUAUGUGGUGGGAUCGCAAUUACGGCUUCGUGGACGACUCAGUACUCUGUGCGGUGGCACCUCGAGGAACCCCUGGCCCUCGCAGGACCCCGGGCUCCUUGUCGUUGGCAGAGCCCGGAUUUUCCCCAGACCCCGGGCACCGGGCUUCACCACCUGCGUCUUUAUAGAGCUGUGAGCGCUCCCAGGAGCAAAGUCUCGACUCCUUCGGCGGCUGCCACGAGCAGGACUUCUCCACGCCCCAAAGACUGGACUUAACGCGGCUUCCUGGGUCGCGGGGCUGCAGCGUCUGCUCUCAGGCCCCAGGCCCAGGCCCCCGCCCCGGCCACCUCCGUCCGUUCCCGUCAGGGGCCACCUGCCCUGGGAGCCGACCUGGGGUCAGUCAGGGCACCCGGGGGCUGAGGGCGGAUCGGGGCGGCGGGCGGGAGCGCCCUCGGCCUUCCCGCCCCGCCCGCCCGCUCUCCUGGGACGCGGG
rnacentral:lncRNA from 1 species